GCCCGGGUCAUGGGUAGGGUGCCCCCGCCGCUCUCCUGAAGCGGGUGUCGCAGGUUCGCAUCCUGCCGGGGGUG
rnacentral:tRNA from 1 species